AUGGCCCGGCCCGAGCCGCGCAGGGGGCGCCCUCUGGCCUGGCCGCCGCUCGCCCGGGGGCUGCGGCCAACUCAGCGGGCCGCCAUCCGAGCGCGGGAGGCCGGGGGGAAAGUUUGGCCGCAAGUUGCGCGGCCGCCCGUGGCGGGGGGGGAGGGGCGGCGGGCGCGCGCCGGGGCCGGUCGCCGCGCCCCCCGGGUCCCCCGGCGCCGGCGACUGCCGCUGCGGGCCUGCAGGGCCGCGGGGCCGGCGCCUCCGGAGCUGCCGCCCCCGCUGCGGCCGCUCCCGCCUGGCCUGGGCCUGCGCCUGGGCCCGAGCCUCGCUCUCGCCGCCGCCACCGCCGCCGACCCCGCGCGCCGGCCUCGCGCUGCGGCCGGUUUGACACACAGCGUUCCAUUCGCGGGGCGGGCGGGGGGCGGGGGCGGGGGCAGGGGCGCGCGCCGCGGGCUGGGGGCGGGCGCUCGUUGCCCCGGCGACGGCCGCCCUUAUAAGGGCAUGGGUGGCCGCGCGCGGCGCCAGGCGAUCGGGCCGGCGGGAGGGACGGGGGCCGAGCGCGGGGCCGCGGGGCCUGACCCUCCCCCGCCUACCCCUGCCCCUCCCCCGCACCCCCGCCCUCGCCCUCGCCCGGCUCCAGCCUUAACCCCUGCCGGGCCGCGGCGGGAGCUUGAGCCGCGCCUGCCCUCUGCCCUUCUUGAGCCUCGCCAAGAUGUCUCUCCAAGGCCCUCCCCCUCCACCUAUGGCCUUGGACGUUGGUUCGCUCGAUCACCCUCGAGGCGCCCCUCGGAACCUCCCCCGCCCCACGUUCCCGGCAUAGCAGUGAUGGGGGUCCAGUGGCACCCGGGGGGGGGCACGCCCCUGCGCGAGACACACACACACACACACACAGAGCCUAGAUUGUGUUUGCUUCCUCUUCCACAAAGUCGCGGUGUCUGGCCCCCACCCCACCCUUUCUCUGCUUGGGUUAACACCUGGUGCCCGGAAUCUCUAGGGGGAAGGGAUGUUGUGGUCUGA
rnacentral:lncRNA from 1 species